UACGAAGGGGCUAGCGUUGUUCGGAUUUACUGGGCGUAAAGCGCACGUAGGCGGAUUGUUAAGUCAGGGGUGAAAUCCCGGAGCUCAACUCCGGAACUGCCUUUGAUACUGGCAAUCUUGAGGCUGGAAGAGGUUAGUGGAAUUCCUGGUGUAGCGGUGAAAUGCGUAGAUAUCUGGAGGAACACCGGUGGCGAAGGCGGCAUCCUGGACCGAGAUUGACGCUGAGGCGCGAAAGCCAGGGGAGCAAACGGG
rnacentral:rRNA from 1 species